GAUGAACGCUAGCUACAGGCUUAACACAUGCAAGUCGAGGGGAAACGACAUCGGAAGCUUGCUUUUGAUGGGCGUCGACCGGCGCACGGGUGAGUAACGCGUAUCCAACCUGCCCACCACUUGGGGAUAACCUUGCGAAAGUAAGACUAAUACCCAAUGAUAUCUCUAGAAGGCAUCUGAAAGGGAUUAAAGAUUUAUCGGUGAUGGAUGGGGAUGCGUCUGAUUAGCUUGUUGGCGGGGUAACGGCCCACCAAGGCGACGAUCAGUAGGGGUUCUGAGAGGAAGGUCCCCCACAUUGGAACUGAGACACGGUCCAAACUCCUACGGGAGGCAGCAGUGAGGAAUAUUGGUCAAUGGGCGAGAGCCUGAACCAGCCAAGUAGCGUGCAGGAUGACGGCCCUAUGGGUUGUAAACUGCUUUUAUAAGGGAAUAAAGUGGGUCUCGUGAGACUUUUUGCAUGUACCUUAUGAAUAAGGACCGGCUAAUUCCGUG
rnacentral:rRNA from 1 species